GCCUUCGUGGUGCUGUGGUAAACACGCUCGGCGCGUAUUCAAAAAGUCCGUGGUUCGAGUCCCGGCGAAGGCA
rnacentral:tRNA from 1 species